rnacentral:rRNA from 1 species
UACGUAGGGGGCAAGCGUUGUCCGGAUUUAUUGGGCGUAAAGGAGCUCGUAGGCGGUUUGUCGCGUCGGUUGUGAAAACCCAAGGCUCAACCUUGGGCCUGCAAUCGAUACGGGCAAACUAGAGUACUGCAGGGGAGACUGGAAGUUCCUGGUGUAGCGGUGGAAUGCGCAGAUAUCGGGAGGAACACCAAUGGCGAAGGCAGCUCGCUGGGACGUUACUGACACUGAGGCGCGAAAGCGUGGGGAGCCGAACAGG